AGAUAUUCUCCAGUCUCCACCUCCUGUGGUCUGGUAGGGCCUCCUGCAGCUAAGUCAAAGGUGUUAAUUAGUUAAUAGCUGGGCUCCUUUCUGGAAGUUGUAUGGGCCUGAAAACAUUCAUAUGAACCACACAGUCCAGAAGAAGAAAAACAACAUAAGAAGUUAUGGAUUCUUGGAAUCUAUAUGGAUUCUAUGGUAGUUUGAGUACCUAAAAUAUAGACAGAUUCUCUGACACAGGAUUAGACAUAUCUCCAGGAUGGUUCCGAUCUCCAACAGCUAUGCAGCAAUUCUACCAGACAUACUCUCCAGCAGCAGUCUGGACUUUUACGUCUGACUCCGAACAGCAUGUGCCUCUGUAGGGACCAUCACUCGGGACCAUUGCCAGCAGACAGCUUCGUAAAACUUCUCUUGCAGAACUCCCUCCGAGUCAGAUAGGCACCUCGUGGGAAAGCGUGUUGCUACACUUUCUAAUCACUUCUACAUUCUCAAGAUGUACAGUGCCCAAAAUCAACAGGACCAGCUCCAAAUGGAAACAGAUUGCUUGGCCUGAGACUGAAUGUUUAGCAGGAGACAGGCAGCCCUGCUGUGCUUUCAGAGGGGUCUGGGAGGGGAGAAGGGGCCCCUCGUGGGAAAGUUGUAGAAUAAGAAGGGGAUCUGCUAC
rnacentral:lncRNA from 1 species